GACGAACCGUGCGAACGUUGUUCGGAAUCACUGGGCUUAAAGGGCGCGUAGGCGGCUGAUCAAGUCUGGGGUGAAAUCCUCCGGCUCAACCGGAGAAUUGCCUGGGAUACUGGUCGGCUCGAAGAGGGUAGGGGCAGAUGGAACUUCCAGUGGAGCGGUGAAAUGCGUUGAUAUUGGAAGGAACGCCGGUGGCGAAAGCGAUCUGCUGGAUCCUCCUUGACGCUGAGGCGCGAAAGCUAGGGUAGCGAACGGGAUUAG
rnacentral:rRNA from 1 species